rnacentral:rRNA from 1 species
AAAUUGAAGAGUUUGAUCAUGGCUCAGAUUGAACGCUGGCGGCAGGCCUAACACAUGCAAGUCGAACGGUAACAGGAAACAGCUUGCUGUUUCGCUGACGAGUGGCGGACAGGUGAGUAAUGUCUGGGAAACUGCCUGAUGGAGGGGGAUAACUACUGGAAACGGUAGCUAAUACCGCAUAACGUCGCAAGACCAAAGAGGGGGACCUUAGGGCCUCUUGCCAUCGGAUGUGCCCAGAUGGGAUUAGCUAGUAGGUGGGGUAA